rnacentral:misc_RNA from 1 species
GAAAUAAACCUGAUGGGCUGUUGCUGGUUCUCUAGGGAGCAUGUGCACGCCUUGUCAUCUUUAUAUCUCCACCUGUGCACCUUUUGUAGACCUGAAAGGGUCUAUGUUUGUUCAUUUACCCCAAUGUAUGUUAAUAGAAUGUUGUGACCCAUAUAUAAUAUAUACAACUUUCAGCAACGGAUCUCUUGGCUCU